GACGAACGCUGGCGGCGUGCUUAACACAUGCAAGUCGAGCGGUAAGGCCCUUUCGGGGGUACACGAGCGGCGAACGGGUGAGUAACACGUGGGUGACCUGCCUCUAGCUCUGGGAUAAGCCUGGGAAGCUGGGUCUAAUACCGGAUAUGACCUCGCGGUGCAUGUUGCGGGGUGGAAAGCCUUGUGCGGCUAGGGAUGGGCCCGCGGCUUAUCAGCUUGUUGGUGGGGUGANGGCCUACCAAGGCGACGACGGGUAGCCGGCCUGAGAGGGCGACCGGCCACACUGGGACUGAGACACGGCCCAGACUCCUACGGGAGGCAGCAGUGGGGAAUCUUGCGCAAUGGGCGAAAAGCCUGACGCAGCGACGCCGCGUGAGGGAUGACGGCCUGUGU
rnacentral:rRNA from 1 species